GUCUACAGCUAUCCCACCCCAAACACACCUGAUCUCAUCUGAUCUUGGAAGCCAAGCGGAGUCAGGCCAAGUUAGUACUUGGAUGGGAAAAGUAAUAUGAGUAUAAAAACCAUUUUUCCGCUGGUGGAGU
rnacentral:rRNA from 1 species